rnacentral:rRNA from 1 species
CCCUUAGAUGUCCUGGGCCGCACGCGCGCUACACUGACAUGUUCAACAAGUUUCUCCUAGUUCGACAGGACUGGGAAAUCUUUGAACGCAUGUCGUGAUAGGGAUAGAUCAUUGCAAUUAUUGAUCUUGAACGAGGAAUUCCUAGUAAACGCGAGUCAUCAGCUCGCAUUGAUUACGUCCCUGCCCUUUGUACACACCGCCCGUCGCACCUACCGAUUGAAUGUUUCGGCGAAGAUUCCGGAUAGGACUGAUUUGAUUUAUUUCAUUUCUGACCUAAAAGCUAUCUAAACCUCAACAUUUAGAGGAAGGUGAAGUCGUAACA